GCGUCUUUAGCUCAGUGGCAGAGCGUUCCGUUCACAUCGGAAAGGCCGUAGGUUCAAUCCCUACAAGACGCA
rnacentral:tRNA from 1 species